AGCGGCAGCGGAAGUAGCUUGCUACUUUGCCGGCGAGCGGCGGACGGGUGAGUAAUGUCUGGGAAACUGCCUGAUGGAGGGGGAUAACUACUGGAAACGGUAGCUAAUACCGCAUAACGUCGCAAGACCAAAGAGGGGGACCUUCGGGCCUCUUGCCAUCAGAUGUGCCCAGAUGGGAUUAGCUAGUAGGUGGGGUAACGGCUCACCUAGGCGACGAUCCCUAGCUGGUCUGAGAGGAUGACCAGCCACACUGGAACUGAGACACGGUCCAGACUCCUACGGGAGGCAGCAGUGGGGAAUAUUGCACAAUGGGCGCAAGCCUGAUGCAGCCAUGCCGCGUGUAUGAAGAAGGCCUUCGGGUUGUAAAGUACUUUCAGCGGGGAGGAAGGCGAUAAGGUUAAUAACCUUGUCGAUUGACGUUACCCGCAGAAGAAGCACCGGCUAACUCCGUGCCAGCAGCCGCGGUAAUACGGAGGGUGCAAGCGUUAAUCGGAAUUACUGGGCGUAAAGCGCACGCAGGCGGUCUGUCAAGUCGGAUGUGAAAUCCCCGGGCUCAACCUGGGAACUGCAUUCGAAACUGGCAGGCUAGAGUCUUGUAGAGGGGGGUAGAAUUCCAGGUGUAGCGGUGAAAUGCGUAGAGAUCUGGAGGAAUACCGGUGGCGAAGGCGGCCCCCUGGACAAAGACUGACGCUCAGGUGCGAAAGCGUGGGG
rnacentral:rRNA from 1 species